UCCCUGGUGGUCCAGUGGUUUAGACUCUGCACUCCCAAUGCAGCAGGCAUGGGUUUGAUCCCUGGUCAGGGAA
rnacentral:tRNA from 1 species